rnacentral:sRNA from 1 species
GCCGCCAUUUUGGUGGCAGGAAGAGUCCGGUUCUGGGACAGCUGGAGACAGUGGUGGUGACUGAAAUAACUUUACCAAAGGAAAGCUAUUUUGCGAACUAUCUUCUCCAGUGGAGAUGGCCAAUGUGAGUAAAUUAUCUCCUAAGAAUCAGCAUAGUAAACUCGUUUGGGAAUGUUAGGAAUGAAAGAACGGGUUUAAUUAUGAUGGCAUUGGGUGGCAUAGUGUUAGAUAUAAUGUAUCAAAAAUGUCAAGGGAAGCAAGUGGUGUGAAAUUAUGUUAUGCUUUGAAGAUGGUAGCAUUCUUUGCACUGCAAAUACACUUAUU